GAGCUCUUCAUUCCCCAGUGGCCCCCGCAUGCCCCCCACCUUCUCCAAGAUCAAUGCAAUGCAGUUAUAUUACAAUCUUAAUCCUUAUUUUCACCUUUCCAAAAAAAAAAAAAAUUAUUAAUGGGAGGGGAAAAAAUCUUCAGAGAUUUAACCCAUAGGAUUCUGCAGCUUUCCACCUCUUCUGCUUAAGGAGGGGGUUGAUGACUGUGUAUAAUUGGAAGGGUAAGGUGUUUAAGAAAGAUGGCUGCCUAUUUUUUAAGGGAGAAAAAUAUCCCCCCUUCACUCUCCCUCUCUCUGCCCAAAUCCCUCAGCCUGAAAAUAAAAGAGGGAGAGGGAGAGAGAGAGAGGGAGAGAAAGAGACAAAAAUGGAAUAUACAUGCCCAGAUUGUGACGUCCAGU